rnacentral:rRNA from 2 species
AGAGUUUGAUCCUGGCUCAGGAUGAACGCCGGCGGUGUGCCUAAUACAUGCAAGUCGAACGCGUUGGCCCAAUUGAUUGAUGGUGCUUGCACCUGAUUGAUUUUGGUCGCCAACGAGUGGCGGACGGGUGAGUAACACGUAGGUAACCUGCCCAGAAGCGGGGGACAACAUUUGGAAACAGAUGCUAAUACCGCAUAACAACGUUGUUCGCAUGAACAACGCUUAAAAGAUGGCUUCUCGCUAUCACUUCUGGAUGGACCUGCGGUGCAUUAGCUUGUUGGUGGGGUAACGGCCUACCAAGGCGAUGAUGCAUAGCCGAGUUGAGAGACUGAUCGGCCACAAUGGGACUGAGACACGGCCCAUACUCCUACGGGAGGCAGCAGUAGGGAAUCUUCCACAAUGGGCGCAAGCCUGAUGGAGCAACACCGCGUGAGUGAAGAAGGGUUUCGGCUCGUAAAGCUCUGUUGUUAAAGAAGAACACGUAUGAGAGUAACUGUUCAUACGUUGACGGUAUUUAACCA